UGGUUCCGGCAUCGAUGAAGAACGCAGCGAAAUGCGAUAAGUAAUGUGAAUUGCAGAAUUCAGUGAAUCAUCGAAUCUUUGAACGCAUAUUGCGCCCCUUGGUAUUCCGAGGGGCAUGCCUGUCCGAGCGUCAUUGCACCUCUCAAGCACGGCUUGGUCCUGGGCCUGCCCCCUGCGGCAGCCCCGAAAUGCAGUGGCAGCCUGGUGAGACUUCAAGCGCAGUGAACAUUUUCGCUCUGGAUGCUCUUGCUGCGGCCCGCCAGCUCAACCCCAAUAUUUUCAGGUUGACCUCAGAUCAGGUAGGGAUACCCGCUGA
rnacentral:misc_RNA from 1 species